GUAGUUGAUCCGUGGCUCGAGACGACGCUGGCGGCGUGCUUAACACAUGCAAGUCGAACGAUGAACCGCUUUCGGGCGGGGAUUAGUGGCGAACGGGUGAGUAACACGUGGGCAAUCUGCCCUGCACUCUGGGACAAGCCCUGGAAACGGGGUCUAAUACCGGAUAUGACUGUCCAUCGCAUGGUGGAUGGUGUAAAGCUCCGGCGGUGCAGGAUGAGCCCGCGGCCUAUCAGCUUGUUGGUGAGGUAGUGGCUCACCAAGGCGACGACGGGUAGCCGGCCUGAGAGGGCGACCGGCCACACUGGGACUGAGACACGGCCCAGACUCCUACGGGAGGCAGCAGGUGGGGAAUAUUGCACAAGUGGGACGAAAGCCUGAUGCAGCGACGCCGCGUGAGGAUGACGGCCUUCGGGUUGUAAACCUCUUUCAGCAGGGAAGAAGCGAAAGUGACGGUACCUGCAGAAGAAGCGCCGGCUAACUACGUG
rnacentral:rRNA from 1 species